GACGAACGCUGGCGGCGUGCCUAAUACAUGCAAGUAGAACGCUGAAGGAGGAGCUUGCUUCUCUGGAUGAGUUGCGAACGGGUGAGUAACGCGUAGGUAACCUGCCUGGUAGCGGGGGAUAACUAUUGGAAACGAUAGCUAAUACCGCAUAAUAGCAGUUGUUGCAUGACAACUGUUUGAAAGGUGCAAUUGCACCACUACCAGAUGGACCUGCGUUGUAUUAGCUAGUUGGUGUGGUAACGGCUCACCAAGGCGACGAUACAUAGCCGACCUGAGAGGGUGAUCGGCCACACUGGGACUGAGACACGGCCCAGACUCCUACGGGAGGCAGCAGUAGGGAAUCUUCGGCAAUAGACGGAAGUCUGACCGAGCAACGCCGCGUGAGUGAAGAAGGUUUUCGGAUCGUAAAGCUCUGUUGUAAGAGAAGAACGAGUGUGAGAGUGGAAAGUUCACACUGUGACGGUAUCUUACCAGAAAGGGACGGCUAACUACGUG
rnacentral:rRNA from 1 species